AGGGCUGCACUCUCGACAUAUGGAAGUUCCCAGGCCAGAGGUCGAAUCUGAGCUCUAGCUGUCGGCCUACACCACAGCCACAGCAACUCGGGAUCCGAGCAGCGUCUUCAACCUAAACCAGGGCUCACGGCAAUGCCAGAUCCUUAACCCACUGAGCAAGACCAGGGAUUGAAUCCUCGUCCUCACGGAUACCAGUCAGGUUUGUUACUACUGAGUCCCAACGGGAACACCCAAAUGCAGGGAUUUGUUCNUUCUUUUUACCACAGCCUUUAGCCACAGAAUGGAUUUUCUAAUUUUUAAGUUAGUUGCUAGAUUUUUUGGUUUCUUUUUCAUAAAUGAUAACCACUAUAUAAAGGUAUAUUUUUUGGCUUAAAUAGUACUUUUUUAAUGGCUCCACCCACGGCAUCUGAAAGUUCCCAGGCCAGAGAUUGAAUCUGGAUCCUUUAAUAGGGGAUUGAACCCACACUUCCACAGAGACCCAAGCACUGCAAUCAGGUUCUAACCGACUGUGCUACAGUGGGAACUCCAAAUGCAAUCAUUUAAUGACUGUAUUAGUGGCUUACAAUGUAAAAUGGUCCAUUUUUGUACAUAUGCUAUCAUUUACUCAAUAAUAAAUAUGAAAACACAGUAUCAACUGUAUUAUUUAUAUCAGUGCUCAGAGACCUCACACACUAAGACCCUACCCAUUGCUUAUUUGGGACCUUAGCAAAUACAAUUUCUUUUCCCACAUAAAGAGUGUGUCUUCAAUGAAAUCUACCUUAUGCCAUUGGCCAAGCUCCAAACUUGGUUCUCCCUGAAUACAGUAAAGCUUCUUCCAAUGCAUAUAAGGAUGAAUUAGCAAAGCUCAGCAAAUAUAAAUAAAACCUUCAUCUGUUUUAUUUUAUUUAUUGAAUCAACUGUUUGGAUCCUGCUAGUUAAGCUAUGGUGAACUCUGGAGAAAAUCUCACUCAUUUGUUGGGGGUAUAAGAAAAGGAGGGUUUAUAAAGGUGGACAAUCCUAGAGUCCACACAGGAGCUUAUCAAGGGCAGCCUCGGGCAGCCUGGCUGGUAAUAGACUCAGUGAGGUCAUCAAGAAGAGAGUUGUGAAUGUCCACAAAGGUCAACAUGGGAGAAGCAGCAGCAUUUCAGAAUCCAGGAGGCUGAUGAAGAAAAUUCGAUCAGUAAAAGCAAUACAUUUUGAGAGUAGACUUUGAAGAAGGCAGAGCGAGUGAAGCUAGAGAGGCAG
rnacentral:lncRNA from 1 species